CUACUUAACUCAGUGGUUAGCGGCGGGAGUCAUUGGUUCAAAUCCAAUAGUAGGUA
rnacentral:tRNA from 1 species